GCGCCCACGCCUUAAUGGAUAAGGCGCUAGACUUAUAAUCAAGUGAUUGUGGGUUCGAGCCCACUGGGCGUG